UACAGGGGGGGGCAAGCGUUGUUCGGAAUUACUGGGCGUAAAGGGUUCGUAGGUGGCCAACUAAGUCAGACGUGAAAUCCCUCAGCUUAACUGGGGAACUGCGUCUGAUACUGGAUGGCUUGAGUGUAGGAGAGGAAUGCGGAAUUCCAGGUGUAGCGGUGAAAUGCGUAGAGAUCCGGAGGAACACCAAAGGCGAAGGCAGUGUCCUGGGGAGUACCUGACGCUCAGGUGCGAAAGCCAGGGGAGCGAACGGG
rnacentral:rRNA from 1 species